AGACUGGCAGGCAGCCGGUGAUGGGGCCCUACUUGGAAGACCCCCUCCUCUGCUGGCUCCUGCGAUUCUUCAGCCUCCUCGUCAGUGUCUACAGCAGUGGGACCAAUGGUGGAGGCCCUGCUCCUGGAGUUCAGGAUUCUGGAGCUCCUGAUCCUCUGCAGGGGAUCCGAGGAGGUUCUGUGCUGUUUCCUUUGCCCAAGAAGCAAGACGCUGAGCUGGAGGAGGGCACGUGGGGCUUUGGUCCUGGGUCAGAGUACAGAGUCCUGCUGCGAGUCCGUCCUGGGAAAGCUCCCACCUGGGUCAGCCUCCAGGACAGGUACCAGCAGAGGGUCCAUGUGCCCAACAUGACGUCCCUGAAGAUUGAGAACCUGACCCCUGAGGACAGUGGGCUGUACCGGGCUCGAGUUAGCUUCACUGGAGGAGUAGAACUUACCAAGGUUUUCCACCUCACUGUCUAUGAGCCAGUGACCAUUCCCCAGAUCCUGGUCCACUCAUCAUCCAUCACACCAGGCUGGUGCAAUGUUACCAUGGAGUGCAGGACCUCAGGGGACGCAGAGGACCUGAAGGUGACCUGGGAGGGCAAGGGCCUCCCCAGGGAGCUGGAGGAGAGAGUGACAUCAGGACCAACCCCCAAUUCGUGGACCCUGGCUGUGCACCUGCCCCAGAGCCAGCCCUACACCAACAUCACCUGUGUGGUCAGCAACGAAGUGGACCAGAAAACUGCCACCUUCAACCUUGGGGAAGUCUGUGUCCAUGGUGAGUGUACCUGCCACAGGGGAGGGGCACUCUUGGAGCUCGGGUGCAGUGGAGCAAAGGUUCUGGGCUGUUGUCCACACCACGUUAUUAGAACCACCUUCCACUGGGUCGCCCCAUAUAGGAGCCUGGGAGGUACAGCCAACCCAUCUUUGCUUUUAACGGUCUCUCACAUCUAAGCCUGCCUCUCCAUCCCUUGCCCAUUCUUGUCCAGGGCAUGAGCUUUCCAGUACUCUUCCCUCCCAUCCACUAUCCAUAGCGUGUCCUCUGUAAUCUUUUGGAAAAGAAAUUGGAUUGUGUAUUGGUCUGUGUCGUCUGUGGGGUCUGACCCAGUGAUUCCCUGUAGAAUUCAGGGCUCAGACAUUUCUCUGCCCAUGUUUCUGGCUUCACUUACACACUUCGUAGUGAAUGGUGUGUGUGUAUGUGGUUGUUGUUGUUAUUUUUGUCUUUUUAGGGCUGCACCCGCGACAUAUGGAGGUUCCCAGGCUAGGGGUCCAAUCGGAGCUGCAGCUGCUGGCCUGUGCCACAGCCACAGCAAUGCGGGAUCCAAGCCACAUCUGUGAUCUGCACUGCAGCUCACAGCAAUGCUGGAUCCUUAACCCACUGAGUGAGGCCUGGGAUCGAACUCACAUCCUCAUGGAUACUAGUUGGGUUUGCUAACCCCCGAGCCAUGACGGGAAAUCCUGUUGCUGUUUUUCAGUUUUUGAAUGUGUCCUGCAAGCUUUGAGCCUCUGAUCAUGCCGUUUCCUCCACCAUCAUUCCUCCCACUCUCGUCACUUCCUGAAGGAUUCCCUUCAGGCACUGCUGCUUCAUGAGCAUGUGACAAGCACCAUCACACAGGGCCCUGCACUUGGUUAUAGUUCUGUCAUUAAUACUAUUUGAGCAAAGGGCACCUCAAUCUCAUGCUGCACAGACCCCUGCAGGUGCUGUAACUGUCCUAUCCUCAGGCAUUACCCCUUAAAAGGAGCAGUCUGUGGCCACCCCCCGCCAAGCAGCAAUGCUUUGCUAAAGGAUUUGUCUCCUUUGUAGCUGGAACACUUCGAGAGCAGAAGUCAUGUCUUUUUUUUUUUUAAUUAAAUUAUAGUUGAUUUACAAUGUUGUACCAAUUUCUGCUGUAUAGCAAAGUGACCUAUUCAUAUGUAUUUAUAUAUCUAUUUUGAUAUAUAUAUGUAUAUACAUAUAUUCUUUUUCUCAUAUUAUCUUCCAUCAUGCUUUAUCACAAAUGAUUGGAUAUAUAUAGUUCCCUGUGCUAUACAGAAGGACCUCAUUGCUUAUCCUUUCUAAAUGCAGUAGUUUGCAUCCGCUCACCCCCAAUCCCAGUCCAUUUCAUUCCCUCCCCUCUCCCCCUUGGCAACCACAAGUUUGUUUUCUAUGUUUGUGAGUCUGUUUCUGUUUUGUAAAUAGGUUCACUUGCACCAUAUUUUAGAUUCCAUGUAUAAGUGAUAUCAUUGGUAUUUGUCUUUCUGAUAUACUUAAUAUAAGAAUCCUAGUUGCAUCCAUGUUGCUGUAAAAGGCAUUGUUUUUAUCUUUUUCAUGGUUGAGUAGUAUUCCAUUGUAUAUAUGUACCAUGUCUUCCUAAUCCAUUCUUCUGUUGGUGGACAUAUAGGUUGUUUCCAUGUCUUGCUGUUGUGAAUAGUGCUGCAGUAAACAUAGGGGUGCACAUCUUUCUUUCAACCCCUGAACCAAGGACAGCUUCUGGCAAAGUUUGCUCAUGGUCAGUGUUUCACUGAGUGAAUGACCUGAUACCCUAUCAGCAGCAUCCUGGAGUUUCAAAUAAAGUUCAACACUCAACAUGACCCUUAAAACCCUCUGGAAAGAGACUCUUCCUCCCUCUGAUCCUCUUCAGCCAGCUCCUCCCUGCCAUGUCCCUCUCCUGCCUGCCACAGUAAGGUGAUGGCAGUUCUAAGGCCAAUGGUUUGCCACAGCCAUUGCCUGGACGUGGGCCUCCUCCUUCCUGGAAUGCAGUCCUCAACCUGAAUACGUAGUAAACUCCUACUCCUGCCUCAAGACUCAGUUUUAAACAUCACCUCCUCUAGGAAGCCCUCCCUGAAGACGUGUGUAUGGGUGGAAACCUCUAUUGCAUGGCAGUCUCUCUGGCUGGUAGACGUUGGUGUUUUCUCAGUGUUCUCUCUGGGUGACCACACCUUGUUCCUUCCAGUCUCCCUGAACUCAAGCAGGAGCUCAGGAGGAGGCUGACUGAAUGAACCUGCCAAGCUCCUCCCUCUUCAGCUUCUGAACCAGGACCCUUCAGACCUCUCCACGUGCUCGCUCCUCUCUUUCCCCUUGGCAAUAGGCAUCUCAAGUUCUUUCUGGCCUUAAUGUUCUCAUUCUCUCCGUGUGAGGGAAACAGGUUCACAUGGACAAGCCAAAGCUGUUGCCCUGCCAGGCAUCUUAGGGGCAGGGGCUACUGUGGCUACACUAUUACUGAUCCUUGGAAUUGGACUCUGCCUUUGGAAGAAGAAGAAGAAGAAGAAGAUGGAGACUGCAAGAGGCAGGUUGCCCUUCUCCUUUCUGGCCGAGUUUUCUCCCCUCACCCUUCCUCCUGCAUUUUGCUGCUCCAGGAAUACCUAUGUAGAGGGGAUGGUGGAUUUGGUCAUGGCCUUGGGGUUCAUAACAGUGGGAGAGGGUAUGGGUUUUCAAGGCCCGGGUUCAAGUUUCACUCUGUGUAUGACUCUGGAGCAGGAUUGCAGGAGGAGUCUAAGGACCGUGACGGUGGCAUCCAAUAUGUAGAGCUGAGCCAGCAGGAUUCUCGAGAGAGCACGGACCAGAUAGGCCACAUGGGAAUCCAAGGGACCACUGGAUUGUUUGGGAAGCCCUGAGUCAGGGCAGGUGAGCAGAUGCUGCUGGUGUGGAUUCGAAUGACCCUCUCGCCUGAGCUCUCCAUCUCCCUGGUAGGUCUUAUCUGCCCAGGACAUGGGAUUCUGCUGCCAGCCUGACUUAUCACUUCAUUUGUCUCUGUCACUUACCUCUCUUUAUGCCCCAUUUCAUAUUAACCAUCCUGUUUGACUAUUCAUGUGCACAUGUGAGAUUAAGUCUUGCCUUGGUCUCAAGUGGAAUUGCUAUACAUCUCCUGUGAUCCAGAUGUGUAGCGUUUUGUUUAAUCUCCAAAAGUUAAAAAAAAAAUGCCCAAAAGCCUCCACCCUAUUUCUCUCAUUUCCAAAUUAUGGUAGAGGAUGUGGAGGGUGAAGAUACUCCCCUAGCACACCACCACGUACCACCAGCUGAGCCGCCAAACUGCUUUGUAAACGGAUCCAAAGAAAAGCUGUGAACUGGAUAAUAGGAUCGUGUAGCUCUCAGGGCUGGAAUCUUCACCUAACUUAUCACUUAGCUUUUGAGCAAGAUUCCUUCACGUUUAAAACAGCAAAACAGGAGUUUCCUUUGUGGCUCAGAGAACCUGAGAGAGUGUCCAUGAGGAUGCGUGUUCCAUCCCUGGCCUCGCUCACUGGGUUAAGGAUCUUGUGUUGCCAUAGAAGGUCAAAGAUGUGUCUCAGGUCUGGUAUUGCUGUGGCUGUGGUGUUAGGCCGGCCGCUGCAGCUCUAAUUCGAUCACCAGCCUGGAAACUUCCCUAUGCUGCAGGUGCGGCUAUAAAAAGAAGAAGAAAACCAGAACAGCAAAAGAACAAUGACAAGAAAAAAAUCUAAGAGACUGUAGUGUGUGACUAAUGUCAAAUUUAAAUCUUCAUGAAAUGGACAAUUCCUAGGAAAAUAUGAAUUGCUAAAACUGAUUUACCUGUGUAUAUAAACCUGGGAAAACGAACACAGAAAAUAUUGUAAAACGUACGUAACAAUAAGAAACAAAGCC
ensembl:lncRNA